AUUGAACGCUGGCGGCAGGCUUAACACAUGCAAGUCGAACGAUGACUCUCUAGCUUGCUAGAGAAGAUUAGUGGCGGACGGGUGAGUAACAUUUAGGAAUCUGCCUAGUAGUGGGGGAUAGCUCGGGGAAACUCGAAUUAAUACCGCAUACGACCUACGGGUGAAAGGGGGCGCAAGCUCUUGCUAUUAGAUGAGCCUAAAUCAGAUUAGCUAGUUGGUGGGGUAAAGGCCUACCAAGGCGACGAUCUGUAACUGGUCUGAGAGGAUGAUCAGUCACACCGGAACUGAGACACGGUCCGGACUCCUACGGGAGGCAGCAGUGGGGAAUAUUGGACAAUGGGGGCAACCCUGAUCCAGCCAUGCCGCGUGUGUGAAGAAGGCCUUUUGGUUGUAAAGCACUUUAAGCAGGGAGGAGAGGCUAAUGGUUAAUACCCAUUAGAUUAGACGUUACCUGCAGAAUAAGCACCGGCUAACUCUGUGCCAGCAGCCGCGGUAAUACAGAGGGUGCGAGCGUUAAUCGGAAUUACUGGGCGUAAAGCGAGUGUAGGUGGCUCAUUAAGUCACAUGUGAAAUCCCCGGGCUUAACCUGGGAACUGCAUGUGAUACUGGUGGUGCUAGAAUAUGUGAGAGGGAAGUAGAAUUCCAGGUGUAGCGGUGAAAUGCGUAGAGAUCUGGAGGAAUACCGAUGGCGAAGGCAGCUUCCUGGCAUAAUAUUGACACUGAGAUUCGAAAGCGUGGGUAGCAAACAGGAUUAGAUACCCUGGUAGUCCACGCCGUAAACGAUGUCUACUAGCCGUUGGGGUCCUUGAGACUUUAGUGGCGCAGUUAACGCGAUAAGUAGACCGCCUGGGGAGUACGGCCGCAAGGUUAAAACUCAAAUGAAUUGACGGGGGCCCGCACAAGCGGUGGAGCAUGUGGUUUAAUUCGAUGCAACGCGAAGAACCUUACCUGGUCUUGACAUAGUGAGAAUCUUUCAGAGAUGAGAGAGUGCCUUUGGGAACUCACAUACAGGUGCUGCAUGGCUGUCGUCAGCUCGUGUCGUGAGAUGUUGGGUUAAGUCCCGCAACGAGCGCAACCCUUUUCCUUAUUUGCCAGCGGGUUAAGCCGGGAACUUUAAGGAUACUGCCAGUGACAAACUGGAGGAAGGCGGGGACGACGUCAAGUCAUCAUGGCCCUUACGACCAGGGCUACACACGUGCUACAAUGGUAGGUACAGAGGGUUGCUACACAGCGAUGUGAUGCUAAUCUCAAAAAGCCUAUCGUAGUCCGGAUUGGAGUCUGCAACUCGACUCCAUGAAGUCGGAAUCGCUAGUAAUCGCAGAUCAGAAUGCUGCGGUGAAUACGUUCCCGGGCCU
rnacentral:rRNA from 1 species